rnacentral:tRNA from 1 species
AGUGGAAUAGCUCAAUGGAAGAGCAGCCAUCCUUCUUGAAUCGUAAAUUAAUUAAUACUAGGUUGACGUGAGUUCGAUUCUCACAUCCACUC